GGGGAUUCCUGGAGAUGGGAUUU
rnacentral:miRNA from 14 species